UCCUGGUUAACUCAGUUGGCAGAGCGCUCCACUGGAAAUAAAGAGGUCCCUGGUUCGAUACCAUGACCAGGCA
rnacentral:tRNA from 1 species